rnacentral:lncRNA from 1 species
AGGAGAUGCACACAGGGCAUCUGCCUGGAAAAGCUCCUUAUCUCGGUCUGUCCUGACACAGGAAAAGCUAACAUGGAACUUCUUGUGUGCACUGGAGGAUUUGGAAGUGGAGUGAUCUUGAGUCAGUG